rnacentral:rRNA from 1 species
UACGUAGGGCGCAAGCGUUGUCCGGAAUUAUUGGGCGUAAAGAGCUCGUAGGCGGUUUGUCGCGUCUGUCGUGAAAGCCCACGGCUUAACUGUGGGUCUGCGGUGGAUACGGGCAGACUAGAGUGCGGUAGGGGAGACUGGAAUUCCUGGUGUAGCGGUGAAAUGCGCAGAUAUCAGGAGGAACACCGGUGGCGAAGGCGGUUCUCUGGGCAUGUUCUGACGCUGAGGAGCGAAAGUGUGGGGAGCGAACAGG